GUGAAAAGCAUUCGGUAAGAGUUAUGUUCACGACGGACCUUGCCUGAGCUCAGUCUGGAAGCAGCAAUGAGUUUCUCCUGGCUUGGUCCCUCCUCCUCUCACCCCACAGACUUUUUCCAUUGCACAGAACAUUCAUAACACCUUCCAGACUCGGGCUGGUCUCCAACACUUUGAGACGGACACAAAGCACACCUGACCUCCCCGCUACUGAAGCAGAUGUGAAAAUAAAGCAAGUUGGCUAUUUUUGAUCAAUGAGUAAAAUCAAAACGCACAUGUCCUGAAAGAAAGCAGGUACUGCUGCAUGAGCCUCACCCAGGAUGGCGAGGGUGACCGAGGGGACCCGCUGUAGCACCCAUCUCCAGAGAAACAGCAACCAAACACCCCGAUAGCUGGCAUAGUGGGUAUGGCUAAAACAGACCACGGAGUAAGAUUCCCGAGUACUGAGGAAGAGGGAUGAGAGCCCAGACUCACCGAUCCUCAUGAGCUUAAUUAUCAUCCUGGUCCUGAGAAAGACAGCAGCAAAUCUGGAAACUGAAGAUGAUGUUUUAGCAAGGGCAGAAUUGAUUUUGCAGCUCAGACCAUAAGCUGUUGUGAAGAUAAGCUGGAAGCAGACCAGUGCCUGGCCACGGACACCAGGACGAGUUCAGCUCUGGGUAUACUCGGCUUUGCUCGCCUCUCUAUUAUCAUCAGCCAAACCAAAAUCUUGGAUCCAGCUCCCCAUGAAUGGUGGUAAACUUUGGAUCUGAGCUCCUGUAAUAAGCAGUUGUUUGCUCUGGCUGGUGGCUUAAGACUCUGUAGAAAAAGAUAUUUCCAGGUAUUAUUUCUAAAAGGAGAAUGACAGCUGAAAGAAGAACCUUGUCCAGCCAACUCAUGUGUCCAACUCUUUGGCUUUCCAGGGUAAAUGAGUAACUACAAUGGGACAGUGAAUGAGAUAAAUAACAUCUAACUGGUAUUGUAAUGAACCUCGAGCAGUCUGCCUCUGUGGAUAACCUGCAAAUUAUCUCUAUUGCCGUUCUGUGAGUUUUUAAAAAAGGCUGCGAGUUAUUCGCCAAAUCCCAUGAAACACAAUUGGCAAUGAGCAACAAAUUCCCAGUGGUCUCAUUUGAAAAAUCCCUGCCCUAUCCCUAUAGGGAGGUAGAGCUCCAGGUUAAAUACACCAUAAAAUGCUUGGAUUUCUUUGUGUGGGAUGGCAGCGUAGAGAGGGAGGAUGAUUAUGUUGUGCGUCAUUAACAGACCAUCGAGCCCAUGAAGCCAUGAGGUUUUGUUACUGGUUCCUGGAUAGCUGGGAGGUUAAUUUGGCCGUGAAAGCAGAGGCGGAUUUUGAAAUGAGCUCUGUACUGCCUGACUGCUGCUACGAGUACUGUCAACAGCAGGCUGAGAUGGGUGGAAAAAAGAAGGUAACGUAAGACCUGGCAAAGGAUCCUUGUGGUCCUUGGGAGGCAAACUGGGGACGUGCACACCGCAGGGACCCCACUGUGUGCCCCAAACCCCAAACUAGCUUCGAACCAGCCGCUUCAGCCAGCAGCCACGGUGCGGCUGGGUGAGUUAGCCACCCCCCAGCACUCGGGCAGGUUUUGCAGCCUGUGCUGAGCUCUGCCUUGCUGCGACCUGCCGGCAGCACCGGCCUCGCCGUCGGAGCCCUCUGGGCAAUGGGGUGCUGCCUGCGGUGCAAAGGCUCAGCCUUGUUCUGGGGUUGAACCAGAAGAACUAACAGCUCUUCCAAAACUGCUUUUGAGUUAACUGGUGGGGGAUUUGGCUUAGGUAAAACUUCUGAAGGAAUUCUCCACAUCUUGGUCUCUGUGCAACCUUCUAGCUGCUUGAAAUUCUAGAAGGAGAGGAAAGGAGGGACAGAUCUGGAGCCGCCCUGCUUAAUUUGGAUAUAAAAUAUCAGGGAAGUCAGUCUUCUGGCUGUACAUAUUCUCAAAGUGCAGCCAAUGGUGCAGUGAAGGAAUAAAGCAGGGAUUGCUCUUCUCUGGGCAGCAAGCAUCUCUGCACCCUCGCUUUUAUGUCUGUCCAGCCUCCAGGAAGCAAAAAGCAGAAGAUGCUCGAUCCCUUCCCCUCCAGCUGGUGUGUGCAUGCCCAGAUGAGCACAUGCAACCAAAACAGAAACCGGGCUACGGCAAAGGAUAUGCAGAAGGCACAUGACACUGCAUAUAUGUUUGUUUUUAAGAUCAUCUCUUCAUCCUUUCUUCAUUAAAAGGCAAACAGCA